UCCCCAGCUGUUGUUGGACUACAACUUCCAUCAUCCCUAGCUAGUAGGUCCAGUGGUCAGGGAUGAUGGGAGUUGCAGUCCAACAACAGCUGGGGA
rnacentral:miRNA from 1 species